GUCGAGCGAACUUUCCUUUUGAUUGAUGCUUGCAUCAUGAUUUAGAUCUAAGUGAGUGGCGGACGGGUGAGUAACACGUGGGUAACCUGCCCAGAAGUGGGGGAUAACAUUUGGAAACAAGUGCUAAUACCGCAUAACAACAUUAAACACAUGUUUUUUGUUUAAAAGAUGGUUUUGCUAUCUCUUCUGGAUGGACCCGCGGCGUAUUAGCUAGUUGGUGAGGUAAUAGCUCACCAAGGCGAUGAUACGUAGCCGACCUGAGAGGGUAAUCGGCCACAUUGGGACUGAGACACGGCCCAAACUCCUACGGGAGGCAGCAGUAGGGAAUCUUCCACAAUGGACGAAAGUCUGAUGGAGCAAUGCCGCGUGAGUGAAGAAGGUUUUCGGAUCGUAAAACUCUGUUGUUGAAGAAGAACAUAUGUGAGAGUAACUGUUCACGUACUGACGGUAUUCAACCAGAAAGCCACGGCUAACUACGUGCCAGCAGCCGCGGUAAUACGUAGGUGGCAAGCGUUGUCCGGAUUUAUUGG
rnacentral:rRNA from 2 species